AAGUGCUUGCCUUGUAUUAAAGACAUAUGAUGAAAUAAAGACGAACAACAGGUGUGUGCAUGCUUUAGAACAUAAAACCAGCGCUAUCCAUACAACAGCAUAAGGGCAGUUUAUUUCAUUACAACUGUAAAAUGACAGUGCACACAUUAACAUUUCUAAUCAAUGCAUCAUUCUCUCACAGGCAGUAUUCAAAUCUUUUAAACCGUUGCUUCAGAGUGUUGAAACAACAACAAUAAAAGCUACUGUUAUAUGGCAGAUAAGAGCAGAAGUCUCCUGGUCCUUCUUCCUUUUUCCAGAAUCACUGAAGCACAAUGAGAUCUCCCACCAAAAAUAAACUGUCAACAAAUAUUAAAUUACAAGAUACAAGGAGAUCGGAGGAGCACAAGUCUGCACUCCAGUC